rnacentral:rRNA from 1 species
UACGAAGGGGGCUAGCGUUGCUCGGAAUCACUGGGCGUAAAGGGUGCGUAGGCGGGUCUUUAAGUCAGAGGUGAAAUCCUGGAGCUCAACUCCAGAACUGCCUUUGAUACUGAAGAUCUUGAGUUCGGGAGAGGUGAGUGGAACUGCGAGUGUAGAGGUGAAAUUUGUAGAUAUUCGCAAGAACACCAGUGGCGAAGGCGGCUCACUGGCCCGAUACUGACGCUGAGGCACGAAAGCGUGGGGAGCAAACAGG